rnacentral:lncRNA from 1 species
CCAAAGAUAUUGGCUACAAAGACCUUCCAAGGAUCCGUGUUGAUGGAGGAAGGGAUGAGUUUGAGAAAUUCUGGGGCUAUGAUACUUUGGAGAGUAUAAAAGAGAACACAAUACAACAAAACCAUAGAAGAUGUACACAAGUAUCAACUGAAAGUUUCUUCAGAUCAAGAGCUUUGGAAUCUUGCAACCGAAGUUUACAAGAGUUGAGCAAGAGUCUAGACUUUGAGCCUGGUCGUGGUCAAACUUUGUUACGGAAAAUCUUCU